rnacentral:rRNA from 1 species
UCGGGAAUUUUGGGCAAUGGGCGAAAGCCUGACCCAGCAACGCCGCGUGAAGGAUGAAGUAUUUCGGUAUGUAAACUUCGAAAGAAUAGGAAGAAUAAAUGACGGUACUAUUUAUAAGGUCCGGCUAACUACGUGCCAGCAGCCGCGGUAAUACGAAGGGAGCUAGCGUUGUUCGGAAUCACUGGGCGUAAAGCGCACGUAGGUGGGCAGUUAAGUCAGGGGUGAAAGCCCGAGGCUCAACCUCGGAAUUGCCUCUGAUACUGGCUGUCUAGAGUUCGAGAGAGGUGAGUGGAAUUCCUAGUGUAGAGGUGAAAUUCGUAGAUAUUAGGAAGAACACCGGUGGCGAAGGCGGCUCACUGGCUCGAUACUGACACUGAGGUGCGAAAGCGUGGGGAGCAAACAGGAUUAGAUACCCGGGUAGUCCCUGAGCGGGCUGGCAAGGCGCAU